rnacentral:rRNA from 1 species
GAUGAACGCUGGCGGCGUGCCUAAUACAUGCAAGUCGAACGCUUCACUUCGGUGAAGAGUGGCGAACGGGUGAGUAAUACAUAAGUAACCUGGCAUCUACAGGGGGAUAACUGAUGGAAACGUCAGCUAAGACCGCAUAGGUGUAGCGAUCGCAUGAACUCUAUAUGAAAAGUGCUACGGGACUGGUAGAUGAUGGACUUAUGGCGCAUUAGCUUGUUGGUAGGGUAACGGCGUACCAAGGCGACGAUGCGUAGCCGACCUGAGAGGGUGACCGGCCACACUGGGACUGAGACACGGCCCAGACUCCUACGGGAGGCAGCAGUAGGGAAUUUUCGGCAAUGGGGGAAACCCUGACCGAGCAACGCCGCGUGAAGGAAGAAGUAAUUCUGUAUGUAAACUUCUGUAAUAGAGGAAGAACGGUGGAUAUAGGGAAUGAUAUCCAAGUGACGGUACUCUAUAAGAAAGCCACGGCUAACUACGUG